UUUCUUCCCCGCCUCCGCCUUUCGCUCUCCCCUCCUCCCAGUGUUACCAGGCUUUCUCCGUAAAGCUCCCAUCCUCCACCCCUCCACCGGUUCCCCACCUCCCUCCCCGCGCUGGGGGGCUGUGGGAGACACGCAGACCUCCCCCCUCGGUCUGCCUUUUCCUCUAGCCCUUGGGCCUCUCCUGGCUGCUUCCGGGCUGACCUCUUAGCUGUGUCCGUGAGGCCUCCGAAUCCACCCCUUUGGCUCCCUGAUGUUUACCUUCCAAGUUGAAAAGUUUAAUUGCAGCCCCAAGGCCAGUUCUCCAAUUCCAUAUGUCGGCUUUAACUGAGGAGUGCUUGGGGAGCACAGAUGGCGAGGAAGAAGCUCAGAGGUAAAGUCGCACUGUCCCGCUGCGUCCCAGCAAAACCUUGGUGGUUUGGCGGUGACAUGUUUGCAGUGGCCUGGAAGGGGAAAGAAGGGAAACUCUGCUUCCUUGGACGUAUGAAAUCCAGUCAAUCUUUUUGCCAUCCUUGAAAAAUGAAGGGCUGGUUCACUGUGCUGUCUGGAACCAUCAGUCUCUGCUCGGCUACUUCCUUAUGCGCAAGGUCUGCAAGCGGAAAAUCAAAACGGAGAUGAAUUUUUCCAGCAUCUGAGGUCUAAGGAGGAAAUGUUUUGCCACGUGGGCCAUCGCCUCUGGGCAAGGUGGGAUUGGCCGGAAGGUCAGUUGUUGGGCCCGCUUCUAAAGGCGUUGGUGCCUCGGUUUCUCCAUUCGCUCCCCCUUUGCUAUCAACCGGUCCUAAGCAACCAGGUCGGAAGGCAUUUAAUACUUGUAUUCACGGAGAUUCCCUCCUCUACCAAAUUACUCGGCUCCGCUGAACGUCGCAAGCAGGACCUUGACUCUUGGUCUCUCAUCUUCACCUCUGCAUUGCCCCAUUUUGGCGACAAUCCUGCCGAGUCAACACAGCCAGGAUCCCCGGCCUUUGCUAUCUGGAUCCAGUUUCUUAUCCUCCACCAUCCCCCCAGAGGAUUUCUGAUCCCCUCAGCCUGCCUUCAGCAAGAACCCUCCUUGGUCCACUUAGCAAGAAUCUCCCUUUACCCCUGAUGUUUCCUCUUAAUGAUAUCCAUCCACUGGCUCCCACCCUGCCCCGUGGCUAUCAAUCUCAUGCGCCCAUGUGGUACUCAGACUUGAGUCCAAUGCUCCCCAUUACUGUGGUCCCUAGUCCUUAUUGCCUUGAAUAAAAUCUUCCUUGCCGUGA